GACGUAGGGCGCGAGCGUUGUCCGGAUUUAUUGGGCGUAAAGAGCUCGUAGGCGGCUUGUCACGUCGGUUGUGAAAGCCCGGGGCUUAACCCCGGGUCUGCAGUCGAUACGGGCAGGCUAGAGUGUGGUAGGGGAGAUCGGAAUUCCUGGUGUAGCGGUGAAAUGCGCAGAUAUCAGGAGGAACACCGGUGGCGAAGGCGGGUCUCUGGGCCGAUACUGACGCUGAGGAGCGAAAGCGUGGGGAGCGAGCAGG
rnacentral:rRNA from 1 species